rnacentral:rRNA from 1 species
GGGCCCGCACAAGCGGUGGAGCAUGUGGUUUAAUUCGACGCAACGCGAAGAACCUUACCAGGGCUUGACAUCGCCUGACAGCCUGCGAAAGUAGGUUUUACCCUUCGGGGUACAGGUAGACAGGUGGUGCAUGGUUGUCGUCAGCUCGUGUCGUGAGAUGUUGGGUUAAGUCCCGCAACGAGCGCAACCCCUACGUUUAGUUGCUAACGGGUAAAGCUGAGCACUCUAGACGAACUGCCGUUGACAAAACGGAGGAAGGUGGGGAUGACGUCAAAUCAUCAUGCCCCUUAUGUCCUGGGCUACACACGUGCUACAAUGGCCUGUACAAAGGGCAGCGACCCUGUGAAGGGAAGCAAAUCCCGGAAAGCAGGUCACAGUUCGGAUUGCAGGCUGCAACUCGCCUGCAUGAAGUCGGAAUCG